rnacentral:rRNA from 1 species
AGACCUUUAGUUUGAACCCCGAAACCAGGUGAGCUACCCCGAGACAGCCUAUAUUGAUUUAGGGCUAACCCGUCUCUGUGGCAAAAGAGUGGGAAGAGCUCCGGGUAGAAGUGACAGACCUACCGAACCUGGUGAUAGCUGGUUGCCUGAGAAGUGGAUAGAAGUUCAGCCUCGCACACCCCAAGCCAGAGAAUACACCGCUAAGGCACUCAGGGAAAUGUGGGAGAGUUAGUUAAAGGGGGUACAGCCCCUUUAACAAAGGAUACAACCUUUGCAGGAGGAUAAAGAUCAUAAUAUAUAAAACAUGCUGCUCUAGUGGGCCUAAAGGCAGCCACCUAAACAGAAAGCGUUAAAGCUCAGGCAGAAAGAAGUUUAUUAUACCGAUAAAAAAUCUUACUCCCCUAAUUAUAUCAGGCCAACCCAUGCCAACAUGGAAGAGAUUAUGCUAAAAUGAGUAACAAGAAGACCUGCUCUUCUCCCAGCACAAGUGUAAGCCAGAUCGGACUAACCACUGGAACUUAACGAACCCAACCCAAGAGGGUAGUGUGAAUAGUACAGACCCCAAGAAGAACUCACAACUAAACAAUCGUUAACCCCACACUGGAGUGCUAUUAUAAAGGAAAGACUAAAAGAGGGGGAAGGAACUCGGCAAACACAAGCCUCGCCUGUUUACCAAAAACAUCGCCUCCUGCAACUAUAUUGAGUAUAGGAGGUCCAGCCUGCCCAGUGACUACGGGUUCAACGGCCGCGGUAUUUUGACCGUGCAAAGGUAGCGCAAUCACUUGUCUCUUAAAUAGAGACCUGUAUGAAUGGCUAGACGAGGGCUUAACUGUCUCCCCCCUCCAGUCAGUGAAAUUGAUCUAUCCGUGCAGAAGCGGGUAUAAUUAUACAAGACGAGAAGACCCUUUGGAGCUUAAGGUACAAAAUCCAACCACGUUAAACGACCCCCUAAAGGGCAAGAACUUAGUGGCCAAUGAAGUUUUACCUUCGGUUGGGGCGACCACGGAGGAGAAAAAAGCCUCCGAGUGGACUGGGUUGAAACCCAAAGCUAAGAGAUACAUCUCUAAGCCGCAGAACAUCUGACCAAAAGUGAUCCGGCUAAAAAGCCGAUCAACGAACCAAGUUACCCUAGGGAUAACAGCGCAAUCCUCUCCCAGAGUCCAUAUCGACGAGGGGGUUUACGACCUCGAUGUUGGAUCAGGACAUCCUAAUGGUGCAGCCGCUAUUAAGGGU